GGGGGAGGCAGGGUGCUGAGACAAUCCAGCUGACAUUUUAAGCAGGAAACGCAACCAUCUGAAUGUAAAGGAGAUAAACCCAGUCUUUACACAGACUGUUCACUCUGGGGAAAUUGAGGUAAAGCGGAACAGGAUUUGGAGCUGGGAAAUGAUGACUGGAGCAAGCAUCUUUGAGAUCACCCUGGCUCUCCCUGCUUCGUGGUUGGUAACCCCUUCUGAGUAUCUAGAAAUGGUGAAAAAGUCAAGGUGAAAAACUCAUGAGGGAUGCUUUUUCCUUUAUCAAAAUUUACACGUAUUUAAAAACAUUGACUUUGCCAAAUAACAUAAAUAGAAAAGAAGUAUUUGUAUAUAAUGGCCUCACAAGGGUCAGUCUUCUCACCACUUCUACAUUUCUAGGACUCUGGAGAGGAGGAAAUGCUUGCUGUCCUCCAGAUCUGAGACCCCAGGAGUUGUUCACCUAGUACUUGUUGCUCUGAAUUUCUUUCAUGGGGCGGGGGGAGCAAAACUUAAAAUAAAAAUAUAAGCUUAAUAUACAAAGUCUCCAGGAAAAUGAAUGUGUGAUCUUAAAUUGACUUUAAAAUGUAAAUGAAGAACAGGAUCAUGUUUUCACUGCGAAGCUCUCACUGGGGCUGGAGAGAAGCUAAUGGUUUGUGGAGGUCAUCAGUGCGCAGUGCACAGCAGCAUCCUUGGGACAAUGACAAGCAUAUCAGCUCUACCCUGUGGUAACCGAAGACUGGAUGCAGAUUUUAUUUCUGCAUAUGAAGGAUCAUAACUAGAAGAGGCAAAUUAUGUAAAAUAAAAUGAAUACCAUUGCUUAUAUAAUUUCUAGACAUAACUUAAAAGUACAGAUUUCAUGGACUUUUUUUUAAAAUGAGGAUCUUGCAAAAAUUAAUCAUUUCAUUUGUUUGUCUUUCUUUUAGAAUGCCGUACAUGUACAAUUUCCUAGUUAUUAAAAACUGAUUUGUAGGGCAUAGGGGAGGGAGGGGGGAAUAUUUCUAAAGAAUCACAAAAUCAUAUUAUUUAAGGUGGUCUUAAAACCUCAGGAGAGCCCAGACAUCUAUUUUGUCAUCAAAGUGUAUUUUUAAGAAAAGUCAGAAAAACAUUAUGCACUGUGACAAAUCCAUAGUUUUAGAGAGGGAAACUGUCUUAGAAUAGAACACUUCUUUUCAAAGAGCAGCCCAGCAAACGCAGCAUUGCCAAAGUUAGAGCAGAGAGAUUUGUCUUCUGGGUCCCUGUUAUAAUCUGCUGGAAGGUCCUGUCUUUUAGUUAUCGCAUGAAAGUAUCCAUGCAGCUACCGAGAAAGAAUAAUUUCUUUUUCAUCAAGUGAGCCACUGACAUUCUGGCAGCCGUUUAAAGAUUACUACUGUGUGCUGUUGCUUUGGCUUCAAUCUCCAUCACAGGCCCAGUGAGGAAGCCAUUUCUAAACAUACUACUCUAAGAGAAGGAGGUAGCAUCUACAUGACAGCCUGUUUGUGUGUGUCAGGGAGAUCUUCCCAGGGAUCCUUACAAAUAUAAAUUGAGUGUGGUCUGCCCAGACAAUUCUAUAGGGCAGAACUAUAGAAAUUUACUAACUGAAAUCUGGGGUAGGUUUCCUCAAGCUAGAGUUACUUAAAGCUGCCAUAAGGGAAACCUGCCUAUGGAUGAGUUGAAGAUGUUUUAGACAGGCCUAGACUUGCAUGUGAAUCACUGCUCAGAGGAGCUGACUGUAGUUCACUCUGAGUUUCAUCCCAGAAUAUGAGUGCUUGUCGACUGCAUAUUAGAAAAGGAUCAGAUGGUUCAAGUUGUCUUUUGAGUAGGCAUCUGAGCAGGCUUUUACUGGGAGGUGAGCUCUUUUCUUGCUGUUUAUCACUAUGAUUCUGUCAAGGAUGGAACAAGACCGGUAACUUUUCUUUUUUUAAUUCCAAAAUUUAAAUGUAUUUAUGAAUCAUAGACAUAAAAGCCAAUCCUCUUGGGGUGAGUUAACAAUAGAGCUAAAGUGAAAGAAUCCAUGGUUGGAAAUCAACUGUCCUUGGUUGUUGCUAACACAGUACUAGAAGUUCCCAAGAUGUAUUUCUAUUCCUCUUCUCCAUUAGCAGCUUGACAGAAGGAUGAUGCUCAUAAUAGCAAGCUGCCAAGACGAAGAGAAUAAAGCUUGCAUAUAAUGGACACAUCUGACCAUGUUAAUUCAAUAAGCCAGACUGAAGCCUGUGGUGUUCAAAGAAGAGUGUGACCCUUUGGGGGCGGGGGAGGGUUGGCGACAGGGAAUAGGGGACCCAAUGACACUACUUGCAUCUAAAGCCUCAGCCUUUACUAGGGAAGACAGCAGCCACACUGAUGGGUACUUCUCUUAGGAGAAAGUCAGAACAGAAUUGAGGAGGUAGAAACAGGAGCCAUUAAUGCCACUGGCAGUUAGGGAAUGAUUAUAAAAGGUGAGAUAAAAUUUGGGCUUAGAAGAUAGAGGAAUUUGAGUAUGUAGAGACAUGGGAACCGAAGAAUGAUGAAGCCAAAGACUUACAGAGCUGGAUGGGAAGAUGACCACACUUUGAAAACAGAGAAGUUUAUUUAGAUUGUAUUUUUAUCCAGCUUAUAACUUUACUUAUUUAGAAAAUAUGUCUGUUUGCAGGAAUGUUUUCCAGCACUUGACAUGCAAGGUUAAUUAGUGCUGUGGUAGGAGAGUUAUGGAAAGCCCAAUCAAUGAUGCUAAAGUCAGUUCAGCCAGAAACUCCUUGUAGAAGUUAAGUUUGUUGGUUAAGUGUAAUGCUGCAUUGUCUGGCUCUUUUUUUUUUUUAAAUCUUUGGACUUUUGGAUUCUAUCUCCAACAUACAUCAUGCAUUGCAGGAAAAUUUUCUUGUAGCUCUUUCAUGUUCAAUGGAUUUGGUUAAGAAUAACUUGUCAGACAUAAUAGAACAUUUUCAAAAAAAAUUACAUGUGUUUAUUUUCCCUGUUGGGGAAGGCAUGCGUGCUCCAGAAUGCAUGUGGUAGUCAGAGGACAACUUGUGGAAGGGGGCUCCCUCCUUCCAUUACUUGGCUCCCAGGGAUCAAAAUUGGGACAUCAGGCUUGGAGACACAUGCCUUUAUCUGCUAAGCCACCUUGCUGGCCCAUAACAGAGUGAUCUUUAACCUAUAUGCUCCACCCACUUUAUCCCACCCCUGCUCAAAAGGGUGCUCUCAAAUCACAGUGUUGGCUGGCAGAAUAAGUGAGAAAUGAUAAACAAUUACAGAAAUAUAUUUUUAAAUUGCUGUUUUGCUGUGAGCCAUAUGUGAAUGCUCUAGUUCUAGCUUGCCUCUCAGUGACUCACAGUUGGUCCCAGAGCCUGCCUCUUCUCAAGGAGCUAGGUGUUCAUGUGCUUGGCCAGCUCAGCUUUCAUGGUACCAAAUAUCUGAAAUAAAAAGAUAUCUGUCUACACAGUGGGAGAAGGAGGAUCCGCAGCCGAUACUAGGUCUGUCAGAACUUUGACUUUGAACUUUGAGCGUCUGGAUCUAUAAGAAAUGAAUGUUCUGUUUUUACCGACCCUAGAUAUCAGAUCCUAUUCUAGCAGAGCAAACUGGUUAAGACAAAGGGCCUCUUGAUAUAAACAUUGCUCAACUGCAGCAGAAAAUACAUGUUUUUGCAUGUAUGGGUCCUUGUCUGUCAAAUCUCAAAAGAUGCUAUCUUCCAUCUUCAUUUUAG
rnacentral:lncRNA from 1 species